rnacentral:rRNA from 1 species
GGUUGAUCCUGCCAGUAGUCAUACGCUCGUCUCAAAGAUUAAGCCAUGCACGUCUAAGUAUAAAUCCUUUUACUUUGAAACUGCGAAUGGCUCAUUAUAUCAGUUAUAGUUUCUUUGAUAGUCCCUUGCUACUUGAUUAACCGUAGUAAUUCUAGAGCUAAUACAUGCGUACUGACUUUCGAGUCGUGUUUAUUAGAUUGAAACCAACUCCUUCGGGGUGAUGUGGUGAUUCAUAAUAAGUUUGCGGAUCGCAUGGCUUGUGCCGGCGAUGGAUCAUUCAAGUUUCUGCCCU